UCCCUUGUGGCUCAGCUGGUAAAGAAUCUGCCUGCAAUGCAGAAGACCUGGGUUCAAUCCCAGGGUUGGGAA
rnacentral:tRNA from 1 species